UACAGAGGGUGCGAGCGUUAAUCGGAAUUACUGGGCGUAAAGCGCACGUAGUCGGCUUUGCAAGUCGGGUGUGAAAUCCCCGGGCUCAACCUGGGAACUGCAUCCGAGACUGCAUUGCUAGAGUAUGGGAGAGGGAAGCGGAAUUUCUGGUGUAGCAGUGAAAUGCGUAGAUAUCAGGAGGAACACCGGUGGCGAAGGCGGGUCUCUGGGCCGAUACUGACGCUGAGGAGCGAAAGCGUGGGGAGCGAACAGG
rnacentral:rRNA from 1 species